GCCCCUAUAGUAUAAUGGAUCAGAAUGCAGGUUUGCGGAACCUGAGAUCUGGGUUCGAUUCCCAGUGGGGGCA
rnacentral:tRNA from 1 species